AUGAACCCCUCCUCGGCCCCGGGGCCGGAUGGCCUGCCCGUAACGUUCUUCAAAACGUUCUGGCCGACCAUCAACCCGAAGGUCAUGGCCCUGUUUGAGGAAUUCUACUCGGGCGCCAUGGAUCUUGGGCGUCUUAACUAUGGAAUCGUUACCCUCAUCCCCAAGGUCCCGGGCGCCUCCGACAUCCGCCAGUUUCGUCCAAUCACAGUGAUUAAUGUGAUAUGUGAUAUUCCGGAUCUUGGCCAAAGGGUACGCCAAUGGGUGACCCUGCUCGCUGACGCGAUUACCCAUCCGAACCAAUCCGCCUUCAUACAAGGCCGAUUUAUUCUGGAUGGUGUGCUGGUAUUCCACAAAGUCCUCCACGAGGUCCGGAUGAAACGCCAUUGGUCGGUCUUUCUGAAGCUAGACUUCCACAAAGCGUACGACAUGGUCCACUGGCCCUUCUUGCGGGAAGUGUUGCUUCGCAAGGGCUUUGACGACCAUUGGGUGACUCGCAUCAUGCAGCUUGUCCCCUGUGGCCAGACCGUUGUGAACAUCAACGGUGACACUGGGCCCUACUUCCCCACCCUUUGUGGGAUCCGUCAGGGUGACCCGUUCUCGCCGUUCCUAUUCAACAUGGUGGUUGAUGCCCUGGCAUCCAUCCUUGAUAAGGCCAAGGAUGAUGGCCAUAUCCGCGGCAUCGUCCCCCACCUAGUCAGAGGGGGAGGGGUCUCCCUCCUUCAAUAUGCGGAUGAUACCAUAAUAAUGGUGGAGGGUUCCGUCCAAGACAUUGCUAACCUGAAGUUCCUCCUCCUGUGCUUCCAACAGAUGUCGGGCCUAACCAUCAACUUCGAUAAGAGCGAAGUGAUGGUUCUUGGGUACCCCCCGGAGGAAGCACAGGCUAUUGCGGACCGACUAAAUUGUCUGUUGGGUUCUUUCCCCACGACUUACCUGGGGAUCCCCAUUAGUGACUCGCGCCUCACCGUGGCGGAUCUUCGCCCGACGGUGACCCGUAUGCAACACCGCGUUGAGCCCUGGAAAGGGCGAUGGUUGUCGAAGGUUGCUCGUGUGAUCCUUAUCAACUCCUCGCUUGCCAGCCUUCUAUGGUUCCUCAUGAGCUUCUAUAGCCUCCAUGAGACCCUCCAUCAGGAGAUCGCCAAAUACCAAUCCAGAUUCUUCUGGGCUGGGGAGGGGGAUAAGCAGAAGUACCAUAUGGUAAGCUGGCCCGAUAUCUGCAAACCCAAGGACCAGGGCGGUCUUGGGAUCUUGUCCUCCCGACGCAUGAACAUUGCCCUCCUGACCCGUUGGCUCUGGCGCAUUGCCAAUGGCGAUGGAGGCCUUUGGCUCACCAUCAUCCAGAACAAGUACCUUCGAGGACAGCCUCUUGCAUUCUGUCAGCGCUCGGGCGGCUCCCAGUUUUGGCAGGCCGUCGUCCAGCUGCUUCCUGUGCUUCGCAUUGGCACAUCCAUCUCGGUUGGUACUGGGUCCACGACCCUGUUCUGGUUUGAUCGGUGGAUUGGCGACACCCCCUGGCCGCACAAUUUCCGGAGCUCUUCGCCAUUGCAGUUGACCCUCGUGUCUCUGUCGAGACGGCCCUUAUUGACUUAG
rnacentral:rRNA from 1 species